rnacentral:lncRNA from 1 species
AGUAGGAACGCCGAGUCGGCUGCCGUGGCUGUGCUGAGGGUGGCGGCCGGAUAGAUAAAGAUGAUAUUGAGACUCCACUGCUAACUGAAGCAGCCCCCAUCCUUGAAGAUGGAAACUGUGAGCCAGCCAAGAAUUCUGAGUCUGUUGACCAAGGUGCCAAACCAGAGAGUAAAUCAGAACCUGUAGUUUCCACUCGGAAAAGACCAGAGACCAAACCUUCCAGUGACCUUGAGACUUCAAAAGUUCUCCCUAUUCAGGAUAAUGUUUCCAAAGAUGUACCCCAGACCAGAUGGGGUUAUUGGGGGAGCUGGGGCAAGUCCAUACUCUCCUCAGCCUCGGCUACAGUAGCUACAGUAGGACAAGGCAUUUCAAAUGUCAUCGAGAAGGCAGAGACUUCCCUUGGAAUCCCUGGUCCCAGUGAAAUUUCAACUGAAGUCAAGUAUGUAGCAGGAGAGACAAAUGCCAAAGAGAAUGAAAACUCCUCCCCAGUGGCUGGGGCAUUUGGUGUAUUCUCUACCAUCUCUACUGCUGUUCAGAGCACAGGAAAGAGUGUUAUAAGUGGGGGUUUGGAUGCCUUAGAAUU